rnacentral:rRNA from 1 species
AUGGACCAAAGAACAUUAUGCUUACAGUAUUACAUGCAUUAUUAUCACUACUACAUGUGGAGGAGAAGAUUGCUUGCUGCCAUUAUUGUGUGUUUAGGGAUGUACUGGUACAAGAUUAAUGUCCGAAAAAGGAAGAGAAAAUCUAUAACUUAUGCUCCCAUGUUCGAACGAGAUGUUGAAAGGAUGUCACGCCUGAACCGCAUGUAUUAUGGAACCGAGGCUAAUUGCAUAAGUGAGCUGCGCAUGCGGAAAUUUGUUUUUCACAAAUUGUGUGCCAACCUGAGACGUCGUGGUCUACUGGUAGAUACAUUCCCUGUAACUGUGGAGGAGCAAGUUGCCAUGUUCAUCCAUGUUGUGGGUCAUAACUGGAAAAAUAGAUUGAUUGGUUUCGAGUUUUAUCGAUCGGGCGAGACUGUUAGUAGGUACUUCAAUGCUUUUUUAGAUGCCCUGUGUCUCCUUGCUCGUGAUGUCAUAUGCAUCAGAACCAUCGAAACACAUUCGAAGAUAACAAGUAGCUCCAGAUUUCACCCUUACUUUGAGGGAUGCAUAGGAGCUCUGGAUGGUACUCAUAUACCGGCAUGUGUGCCAAUCCACAUGCAAAAUAGAUUUAGGGGUAGAAAGUCCUUUCCCACACAAAAUGUGCUAGCAGCAGUUGAUUUUGACCUAAGAUUUACAUAUGUUCUUGCUGGAUGGGAGGGAUCAGCUCAUGAUUCUUAUGUGCUCCAAGUACCUGUAGGUGGUGAUAAUUCAUCAUCUAGCACUACCCGAGUUGGUAAGAAGCGCCCAAAAGGUAGCAGGUCACCUACUAAGAAGCCACCAAAAACCAAGAGUCGUUUUGUGGAGUCCGCUGAAGAAAUCAACUCUACAUUGAGGUCACUCCAGCAAUCCCUUGCUGCCGUUCCUCCUCCAAUGCCCCAAGUUGUUGAUCCUUAUGCUAGUUUAUGGAAGAGGUUGGAGGAACUCCCAAUUACCACAGAUCAAAGAAUUACUGUUGGUGUGCACUUAUCUUGCAAGGACAAUGAAGGUUUGCGUGGUUGGUUAUGCAGUGCAAGUGACAAAAUUUUUGAAACUUGGGUUUGCAAGUUCUUUGCUGACAAAGAUCAUGUUUAUAGCAACCUGUGA